rnacentral:rRNA from 1 species
UGGGGAAUAUUGCACAAUGGGCGCAAGCCUGAUGCAGCCAUGCCGCGUGUGUGAAGAAGGCCUUCGGGUUGUAAAGCACUUUCAGCGAGGAGGAAGGUGGUGAGCUUAAUACGCUCAUCAAUUGACGUUACUCGCAGAAGAAGCACCGGCUAACUCCGUGCCAGCAGCCGCGGUAAUACGGAGGGUGCAAGCGUUAAUCGGAAUUACUGGGCGUAAAGCGCACGCAGGCGGUUUGUUAAGUCAGAUGUGAAAUCCCCGGGCUCAACCUGGGAACUGCAUUUGAAACUGGCAAGCUAGAGUCUCGUAGAGGGGGGUAGAAUUCCAGGUGUAGCGGUGAAAUGCGUAGAGAUCUGGAGGAAUACCGGUGGCGAAGGCGGCCCCCUGGACGAAGACUGACGCUCAGGUGCGAAAGCGUGGGGCAGCAAACAGGACUAGAUACCCUGGUAGUCCAGCGCUGUAAACGAUGUCGAUUUGGAGGUUGUGCCCUUGAGGCGUGGCUUCCGGAGCUAACGC